GAUGAAGAACGUAGCGAAAUGCGAUAAGUAAUGUGAAUUGCAGAAUUCAGUGAAUCAUCGAAUCUUUGAACGCACAUUGCGCCCUUUGGUAUUCCAAAGGGCAUGCCUGUUCGAGCGUCAUUUGUACCCUCAAGCUUUGCUUGGUGUUGGGCGUCUUUUGUCUCCAGUUCGCUGGAGACUCGCCUUAAAGUCAUUGGCAGCCGGCCUACUGGUUUCGGAGCGCAGCACAAGUCGCGCUCUUAGCCAGCCAAGGUCAGCGUCCAGCAAGCCUUUUUUCAACCUUUGACCUCGGAUCAGGUAGGGAUACCCGCUGAACUUAAGCAUAUCAAUAAGCGGAGGA
rnacentral:misc_RNA from 1 species